GUCUCUUUCAACUACUGCGUCGUUCUGGUUUUCUGAAAGUUUUAAUUACAUGUUAAAGGCUUAAUUAAUACUUCAUCAACUUCACUUCUAUGUGGAUUUCGGAUCCACAAUUUAAUUCAGCCGACACAAAGAAUGUAAUUCCAUAAAACAGUAAAAGCGAAAACUUAUUGAUUAAAAUCUUUCUACUGUUCACAUAAAACGAAAGAUAAAAAGGAAAAUUCAUUAAUCUAAAAAUUUCCCAACAACUUCGUGUAAUCAGUGGGCGAAUCAAGAAAGCUUGGAGAUUGAUCAAAGACACCAUCUAGCCUGACCACUCCAAUAUUGAGUAUAGCCCCAGGCACAUCAUCAGAUUCUGAACGUAUAUGAAAAGCCAUGCACUUGGCAUCUCCAUGAUCUUCAGAUAUCAGAUUUUCCACCAGAACAUGAGCCACACCAAUCUUCUCAUCCUUCUUGAGUCGCCUAACCCUGUAAAUUUCGAACACCAAGCAAGCAUUCGGUCUCCUGAGCUGCAAUUCACUAUCAAUGGCGAAUACAACUUUGUCAUUCCAUGUUGGGUUGGUGUGGCCAAAUCUGUCUACCCUCGAUUUAAGCUUCUUGUCAGGAUCAAUAUAAGCAACGACGUAGGUUUGAAUCUUGGAUGAGGAUUUGCGUGAACAGUCAAGGUCUUGGGCGGAGAUGAGAUUGAUCUCAAGAAUGGUUACAGCAUCGCUUGGAGCGGUUUUGGUGCCAAAGUUGAAAAGGUGGUGGAGGUGCAUCUUGAAGUUGAUGAACAGAACGAAGAAGAAGCAAGACUUGGGUUGAUGGCUAGAGAUUGAAGAAGAAGAUGUCGAACUGAUCUGCAGGGCUUGGCUAAUGAUGUUUAUAUCGCGAUUAAAGUCGUCGUUAUUCCAAAAGUAGUACUCCAAGUUCAAGUAGGAGAAGGUUGCUAUUAUAUAUGGUACAGGAAGAUUGAACUACUAAAUCAAUCAAAUUAACCGAUGAUUACCAAUGGCGGCAUCGCGGCGGCUCCGUGAUCUCCAAUCACAACCGGGGAACAAGAUCUGCGUCGAUUGUUCCCAGAAGAACGCGCAAUGGGCGUCUGUUUCUUACGGCGUCUUCAUGUUCCCAGAGUGCUCUGGCAAGUAUUGUGGUCUCGGUGUUCACAUAUCCUUUGUCCGAUCCGUUAACAGGGACUCAGGAUCUGAGAUCCAGAUCAAGAAAAUGGAAGCUGGAGGUAACGAACGGCUCAACGCUUUUUUAGUUCAGUAUGGAAUCCCUAAAGAGAUGGACAUCGUCGCUAAAUAUAAUACUAAAGAAGCUAGCGUUUACCGGGAUCGAAUCCAGGCCCUUGCCGAGGGUCGACCUUGGCGGGAUCCACCGGUGGUUAAGGAAACAAUCGGUGGCAGGAAAAAGCCACCGCUGGCUCAAUCUGGUGGUAGCAGAGAUAAUAAUUAUUCUAGUAAUGGAGGAUGGGAUAGUUGGGACAAUGAUGAUUCGUUUAGAUCUUCAAAUGAUAUGAGAAGGAACCAAUCGGUUAGCGAUUUUAGGGGUAAUAGCGGUGCUGGUGGUGGAAUGGGGGGUGUUCCCGUCAGGUCUAGAUCGACUGAGGACAUGUAUACCAGAGCACAAUUAGAGGAUUCUGCAGCUAAUAAGGAGAGAUUUUUUGCCAGAAAAAUGGCAGAGAAUGAAUCGCGUCCAGAAGGUUUACCGCCAUCGCAAGGCGGGAAGUAUGUGGGAUUUGGAUCGAGUCCUGCUUCUUCGCAGAGGAAUAAUAAUUCCCAAUCAGAUGUUCUCUCUGUUAUGUCUCAGGGUUUUGGUAGGUUAUCUCUUGUUGCUGCAUCUGCGGCUCAAUCAGCUGCGAAUGUCGUCCAAGCUGGCACGAAAGAGCUUACUUCCAAGGUGAGGGAAGGUGGGUAUGAUUACAAGGUGAAUGAAACUGUCAAUGUUGUUACUGCUAAAACAACAGAGAUUGGACAUAGGACGUGGGGCAUUAUGAGGGGGGUCAUGGCUAUGGCUACACAGAAGGUUGAGGAAUACACUAAAGAAGGCAGCUGGAAGACUGAUAACUGGCAACGAAAUGAAAGUGAUAGUAAUGGAUAUUAUCAUGACUUUAAUAAGCAAGAAAAUAAAGGAUGGAAUUCAUCAUCUGCUGGAGUACAAUCCUCAUCAAGCGGGCAUUAUAAUUCUUACAGCUCGAGUUCUUGGGAUAAUUGGGAUCAGAAAGACGCUAGGAAGGAAGAUAACAUAAAGGGCUCCGCAUCACAUAAUAAUGAUGGUUGGGCAGGUUGGGAUGACACCAAGGAUGAUGGAUAUGAUAAUUUCUAUCAGAGCACACCUGAUAAGAAAACUGUUGGUCAUGAUGGGAAAUCAGAUGGCUCAUGGACUGGAGGAGGCUUUCUUUAAGGUAAUAUUGUAGACUAAUACAGAAUUUUCCUUUUUCUUUUGGUUUUAUUUGAGUUAUAUAUUGGGAAUUGCAUUUUUGUUAGAAAUGGUUUGGCUUGUUUCUUUUUACUGCACAAUUCUUCUGGGUCUCGAAGAUUGUUGGAUUGAAAUUAUGUACAGUUAUAGCAUCAUCUCAUUAUCUGUUUGUUGACCAGGUUGGCCUGCGCUUCAUUCUCUGCAAAACCCUGGUUGACCCCCAUGGUUUUGUUUUUUUUUUUUUUGGGAAGGGGUGGCACCAUGGGGGUGGAAGGGGGGAAUUGCUAAAACUGAUGGAUAGCUGGUUGCAGUGAUUUUGGGUUGGUGGAUUUGAAUUUACUCUUGAGUGCAGCUGAUAAGAAAGUGUUGGUUGCAUAUCAGAUAGAUCUGUGGUGAAUGGGGAAGCUUUUCUGUAGAUUGGUAUAUUUUCUGCAACUCCUUUUUCUUUCUUUCUUUCUUUCUUU
rnacentral:misc_RNA from 1 species